CACGUAGGGUGCGAGCGUUGUCCGGAAUUAUUGGGCGUAAAGAGCUCGUAGGCGGUGUGUCGCGUCGGCCGUGAAAACCUGCAGCUUAACUGUGGGCGUGCGGUCGAUACGGGCAUCACUGGAGUUCGGCAGGGGAGACUGGAAUUCCUGGUGUAGCGGUGGAAUGCGCAGAUAUCAGGAGGAACACCAAUGGCGAAGGCAGAUCUCUGGGCCGUAACUGACGUUGAGGAGCGAAAGCAUGGGGAGCGAACAGG
rnacentral:rRNA from 1 species